GGCAGCGUGGCCGAGUUGGUUACGGCAUGAGUUCAAGAUCACCUUAGCAUCUUCGAUUCCUCAUGGAGCAAUCCGCGUGGGUUCAAGUCCCACCGCUGCCA